UACGGAGGGGGCUAGCGUUGUUCGGAAUUACUGGGCGUAAAGGGCGUGUAGGCGGCUUGUCGAGUCAGGCGUGAAAGCCCCGGGCUUAACCUGGGAACUGCGUUUGAUACUGGCAGGCUAGAGGUUGGGAGAGGAGAGUGGAAUUCCCAGUGUAGAGGUGAAAUUCGUAGAUAUUGGGAAGAACACCAGUGGCGAAGGCGGCUCUCUGGCCCACACCUGACGCUGAGGCGCGAAAGCGUGGGGAGCAAACAGG
rnacentral:rRNA from 1 species